ACGGUCCUCGCAAAGCUUCCUAAACUAUCACUGCGUCCCUCCUGGUACACACCACUGCCUUCUGCACAGCCCUGGCCUCCAAGACAGAUGAUGGUGGUGUGUAAACGGCUCCAUCCUCCCAGGUUAGAAAGGACUUCAGUGGCACGUCACAUAUGGAAAGCAACGGGCCUGGGAUCUCAAGGGCCACUCCGAAAGUGGGUCAAGUCACCCACAUGUGACUUUUUCUGGACUGUUCAGUGGGCCGCUGACAGGAGGUCGCUGGCCUUCUCCCUCAGAAAGGGAACCCCGGCCAGAGAGAUGUCGAGAACAGGGGGCAUGGAGCCAGCCAUCUUUCUGGAUAAGUAAAGACGCCUAGGUCUUUUUGCUUUUGGUCCCCUCGGCCAUGGUAAAGACGCUGGCAAGAGGCCACUCCUGCUGUCCUGACCUGGCAUCUCCCUCCACUGCCCUCCCCCUCCUGGGGUCUUCAAGCAGAGGGGCCUGCCAGUCCAUCUCUGGCAACCAGCGGCAACCCGCGCUGUGCCCAGCCCACCCCCUCCAAGCCCUGCCCGUCGCCCAAUUAGAAGCUGCGUUGGCUUCAACAGAUGGGAGCUGCGGCAGCCUGAGGAACAGAGCACAAAGCCCAGCUGACAUUUUUC